CAUCGCCUCCUGCCCACUCAGCAUAGGAGGUCCCGCCUGCCCUGUGACCAAAAGUUUAACGGCCGCGGUAUUUUAACCGUGCAAAGGUAGCGCAAUCAAUUGUCUUUUAAAUGAAGACCUGUAUGAAUGGCAUAACGAGGGUUUAACUGUCUCUUUUUUCAGGUCAAUGAAACUGAUCUGUCCGUGCAGAAGCGGACAUAUUGACACAAGACGAGAAGACCCUAUGGAGCUUUAGACGCCCACCAACCGCGAAAAGCAGCCUACCUAAACAGAUGCUCUAAACAACGCGGUCCUGGUACAAACGUCUUCGGUUGGGGCGACCGCGGAGGAGAACAAAGCCUCCGAGAGGAAUGGGAACAAACCCUAAAACCAAGAGCCACAGCUCUAAGUCACAAAAAAUUUGACCGACAAUGAUCCGGCUUACUGCCGAUCAACGGACCAAGUUACCCUAGGGAUAACAGCGCAAUCCCCUCCCAGAGUCCAUAUCGACGAGGGGGUUUACGACCUCGAUGUUGGAUCAGGACAUCCUAAUGGUGCAGCCGCUAUUAAGGGUUCGUUUGUUCAACGAUUAAAGUCCUACGUG
rnacentral:rRNA from 1 species